CGCCUACAUGAAGCUGGAAUUGCUAGUAAUCACAGGUCAGCAUACUGUGGUGAAUACGUUCCCGGGCCUUGUACACACCGCCCGUCACACCAUGAGAGUUGAGAAUACCCGAAGCCCAUGUCAAAGUGGUCGAAGGUAGGCUUGAUGAUUGGGGUGAAGUCGUAACAAGGUAAC
rnacentral:rRNA from 1 species